UGAUCAUCACAUACUCAUGAGGAGAAUAUCUUUGGGAAGGAUGAUGCUCUCUAGUAGGUCUUCUUAACUGAGGCUCAACUAAUGAUUCUGAAGGGGCUUACUCAGCAUACUUAUCUAGCAUAUUAUUAUCAAGUAUGGCUUUAUCAACUGUGUUACCAUCAUCUUCUUGUACAUCUCUCCCGUUAUCAUUAUUCAUCAUGGUAGGAGGCAUUGGAUCCAAAUCAUGUAAUUUCUAAUGAUAGAC
rnacentral:lncRNA from 1 species